CCUACGGGUGGCAGCAGUGAGGAAUAUUGGUCAAUGGCCGUAAGCCUGAACCAGCCAAGUAGCGUGAGGGAAGACUGCCCUAUGGGUUGUAAACCUCUUUUAUGCGGGGAUAAAGGUGUCCACGUGUGGAUGUUUGCAGGUACCGCAUGAAUAAGGACCGGCUAAUUCCGUGCCAGCAGCCGCCGUAAUACGGAAGGUUCGGGCGUUAUCCGGUUUUAUUGGGUUUAAAGGGAGCGUAGGCCGGUCUUUAAGCGUGCCGUGAAAUUUUGGGGCUCAACCAUGGGAGUGCGGCGCGAACUGGAGACCUUGAGUGAGCGGAAGGCAGGCGGAAUGCGUGGUGUAGCGGUGAAAUGCUUAGAUAUCACGAAGAACCCCGAUUGCGAAGGCAGCCUGCCGCAGCGUUACUGACGCUGAAGCUCGAAAGCGCGGGGAUCGAACAGGAUUAGAUACCCCAGUAGUC
rnacentral:rRNA from 1 species